GACGAACGCUGGCGGCGUGCCUAAUACAUGCAAGUCGAACGCAGUGGGGAUGGGUGAGUAACACGUGGGUAAUCUCCCAUCAAAGGGGGUAACACUUGGAAACAGGUGCUAAACCGAUACGGGAUGAGGGACCCGCGGUGCAUUAGCUCGUUGGUGAGGUAACGGCUCACCAAGGCCACGAUGCUUAGCGUGUCUGAGAGGAUGAUCGGCCACACGGGAACUGAUACACGGCCCAGACUCCUACGGGAGGCAGCAGUAGGGAAUCUUCGGCAAUGGACGAAAGUCUGACCGAGCAAUGCCGCGUGAGUGAAGAAGGUCUUCGGGUCGUAAAGCUCUGUUGUUAGGGAAGCGGUAUCUACCCAGAAAGCCACGGCUAACUACGUGCCAGCAGCCGCGGUAAUUC
rnacentral:rRNA from 1 species